rnacentral:rRNA from 1 species
GACGAACGCUGGCGGCGUGCUUAACACAUGCAAGUCGAACGGAAAGGCCCCUUUGGGGGUACUCGAGUGGCGAACGGGUGAGUAACACGUGAGUAACCUGCCCUUGACUUCGGGAUAACUUCAGGAAACUGGGGCUAAUACCGGAUAGGAAUCCUUGCUGCAUGGUGGGGGUUGGAAAGCUUCGGCGGUUUUGGAUGGACUCGCGGCUUAUCAGCUUGUUGGUGGGGUAGUGGCUUACCAAGGCUUUGACGGGUAGCCGGCCUGAGAGGGCGACCGGCCACAUUGGGCCUGAGCUACGGCCCAGACUCCUACGGGAGGCAGCAGUGGGGAAUAUUGCACAAUGGGCGGAAGCCUGAUGCAGCAACGCCGCGUGCGGGAUGACGGCCUUCGGGUUGUAAACCGCUUUCAGCAGGGGCGAAGCUUGUGGUGACGGUACCUGCAGAAGAAGCACCGGCUAACUACGUG